GAUGAACGCUGGCGGCAGGCUUAACACAUGCAAGUCGAACGAAUGGAUUAAGAGCUUGCUCUUAUGAAGUUAGCGGCGGACGGGUGAGUAACACGUGGGUAACCUGCCCAUAAGACUGGGAUAACUCCGGGAAACCGGGGCUAAUACCGGAUAACAUUUUGAACCGCAUGGUUCGAAAUUGAAAGGCGGCUUCGGCUGUCACUUAUGGAUGGACCCGCGUCGCAUUAGCUAGUUGGUGAGAUAACGGCUCACCAAGGCAACGAUGCGUAGCCGACCUGAGAGGGUGCUCGGCCACACUGGGACUGAGACACGGCCCAGACUCCUACGGGAGGCAGCAGUAGGGAAUCUUCCGCAAUGGACGAAAGUCUGACGGAGCAACGCCGCGUGAGUGAUGAAGGCUUUCGGGUCGUAAAACUCUGUUGUUAGGGAAGAACAAGUGCUAGUUGAAUAAGCUGGCACCUUGACGGUACCUAACCAGAAAGCCACGGCUAACUACGUGCCAGCCGCCGCAGUAA
rnacentral:rRNA from 1 species